ensembl:lncRNA novel transcript
UCUUUCUUUUCCUCCUUCACACCCUCCUCUUCUGUCUCUCUGCAACCCCUCCUGGUGAUCUCUGAGUCUCUGAGCACCUCCGCCUUCCUCUCCCACUGCCUCUUUCUCCCCCUCAUCCUCUGGGACUCACAUUCCCUAAAUACUAAUGGCAGGGAUUUGCUGUGCCCCAUGGCUCAGUUAAGUUCUGCUCCCCAGCUCUGCCAUCAUCUGCCUUUGCCUGAAGGUACCAGGAUGGCUCUCUGCAAGGAUUCCCACCAGGAAUGCCAAAGCCAGAGACUUAGGGACCAAAGGACCCAGAAGGGAGAUCUGAAAAAUUCCUGCUUAGGGGCGGGUCCUGGAGGCUCUGAUUUUUCUGGGUAUUGAGGGACCCAAACUCAACCAG